rnacentral:rRNA from 1 species
UACGUAGGUGGCAAGCGUUGUCCGGAUUUACUGGGCGUAAAGAGCGCGCAGGCGGUCUUCCAAGUCGCGUGUGAAAGCCCCCGGCUCAACUGGGGAGGGUCACGCGAUACUGGUCGACUCGAAGGCAGGAGAGGGUAGUGGAAUUCCCGGUGUAGUGGUGAAAUGCGUAGAUAUCGGGAGGAACACCAGUGGCGAAGGCGACUACCUGGCCUGUUCUUGACGCUGAGGCGCGAAAGCUAGGGGAGCAAACGGG